rnacentral:rRNA from 1 species
AACGCUAGCUACAGGCUUAACACAUGCAAGUCGAGGGGCAGCACUAGGUAGCAAUACUGAGGUGGCGACCGGCGCACGGGUGCGUAACGCGUAUCCAACCUUCCCGUUACUCUUGGAUAGCCUUCCGAAAGGGAGAUUAAUACAAGAUGGUAUUCAAAUUCCGCAUGUUAUUUGAAUUAAAGAUUUAUCGGUAACGGAUGGGGAUGCGUGACAUUAGGUAGAUGGCGGGGUAACGGCCCACCAUGCCUACGAUGUCUAGGGGUUCUGAGAGGAAGGUCCCCCACACUGGAACUGAGACACGGUCCAGACUCCUACGGGAGGCAGCAGUGAGGAAUAUUGGUCAAUGGUCGGAAGACUGAACCAGCCAAGUAGCGUGAAGGAUGAAGGUUCUAUGGAUUGUAAACUUCUUUUAUACGGGAAUAAAACCUCCCACGUGUGGGAGCUUGUAUGUACCGUAUGAAUAAGCAUCGGCUAACUCCGUGCCAGCAGCCGCGGUAAUACGGAGGAUGCGAGCGUUAUCCGGAUUUAUUGGGUUUAAAGGGAGCGUAGACGGGAUGUUAAGUCAGUUGUGAAAGGCUGCGGCUCAACCGCAGCACUGCAGUUGAUACUGGCGUCCUUGAGUGCGGUUGAGGUAUGUGGAAUUCGUGGUGUAGCGGUGAAAUGCUUAGAUAUCACGAAGAACUCCGAUUG